rfam:Schistosoma curassoni strain Dakar, Senegal genome assembly, scaffold: SCTD_scaffold0013709
GCACUACUGAUGAGUCCCACAAUAGGACGAAACAGCCUUUCAGUGC